UUUCCGUAGGUGAACUGCGGAAGGAUCAUUACCGAGUGCGGGCCCUCGCGGCCCAACCUCCCACCCUUGUCUCUCUACACCUGUUGCUUUGGCGGGCCCACCGGGGCCACCUGGUCGCCGGGGGACGCACGUCCCCGGGUCCGCGCCCGCCGAAGCGCUCUGUGAACCCUGAUGAAGAUGGGCUGUCUGAGUACGAUGAAAAUUGUCAAAACUUUCAACAAUGGAUCUCUUGGUUCCGGCAUCGAUGAAGAACGCAGCGAAAUGCGAUAAGUAAUGUGAAUUGCAGAAUUCCGUGAAUCAUCGAAUCUUUGAACGCACAUUGCGCCCCCUGGCAUUCCGGGGGGCAUGCCUGUCCGAGCGUCAUUUCUGCCCUCAAGCACGGCUUGUGUGUUGGGUGUGGUCCCCCCGGGGACCUGCCCGAAAGGCAGCGGCGACGUCCGUCUGGUCCUCGAGCGCAUGGGGCUCUGUCACUCGCUCGGGAAGGACCUGCGGGGGUUGGUCACCACCAUAUUUUACCACGGUUGACCUCGGAUCAGGUAGGAGUUACCCGCUGAACUUAA
rnacentral:rRNA from 1 species